GACGAACGCUGGCGGCGUGCUUAACACAUGCCAGUCGAACGGAAAGGCCCUGCUUUUGUGGGGUGCUCGAGUGGCGAACGGGUGAGUAACACGUGAGUAACCUGCCCUUGACCUUGGGAUAACUUCAGGAAACUGGGGCUAAUACCGGAUAGGAGCUCCUGCUGCAUGGGGGGGGUGGGAAAGUUUCGGUGGUUGGGGAUGGACUCGCGGCUUAUCAGCUUGUUGGUGGGGUAGUGGCUUACCAAGGCUUUGACGGGUAGCCGGCCUGAGAGGGUGACCGGCCACAUUGGGACUGAGAUACGGCCCAGACUCCUACGGGAGGCAGCAGUGGGGAAUAUUGCACAAUGGGCGGAAGCCUGAUGCAGCAACGCCGCGUGCGGGAUGACGGCCUUCGGGUUGUAAACCGCUUUCGCCUGUGACGAAGCGUGAGUGACGGUAAUGGGUAAAGAAGCACCGGCUAACUACGUG
rnacentral:rRNA from 1 species